AUUGAACGCUGGCGGCAUGCUUUACACAUGCCAGUCGAACGGUAACAGACCAUGGGGUGCUGCCUACGGGCGGCGGGUGGCGUAAUGCAGCGGAACGUAUCCAGAGCUGGGUUUUCACGGAGCGUAACGUGGGCUAAUACCCGAUGUGACCUGAGACUGCCAACGGGUGACCGCACAGGAAUGUUUGGCCUUGCGCCUUUGAAGGAGCCGAUGUCGGAUUAGCUAGUUGGCGGGGUAAAGGCCCACCAAGGCGACGAUCCGUAGCUGGUCUGAGAGGACGACCAGCCACACUGGAACUGAGACACGGUCCAGACUCCUACGGGAGGCAGCAGUGGGGAAUUUUGGACAAUGGGCGCAAGCCUGAUCCAGCCAUGCCGCGUGGGGGAAGAAGGCCUUCGGGUUGUAAAGCGCUUUUGUCAGGAAAGAAACGGUGUCCGUUAAUACCGCGCGGUAAUGACGGUACCUGAAGAAUAAGCACCGGCUAACUUCGUG
rnacentral:rRNA from 1 species